rnacentral:rRNA from 1 species
CUUAUUGAAGCCUUUGCAGCCCCACGGGGCCGGCACCGCGACUCGAAACAAUGGUGACCGCUGCAAGUCGAUUCGUUCGGCAACACAACCAAAUUACCGGGAAAUCCCAGGCGUGCUUGGGAGAUCCGUAGCAUUCUCAGCUCUUGCUGGGCGUGUUCACAGACUAAAUGGUUGUGGGUUCGGCUUCCACAGCUGAGCUUAAGAUAUAGCCGGGCUUUGUGAGAAAUCAUAGAGGCUUGCAUUUGGAAAUUCAUCGCAGUAGCUAGCUAGUUAAGCUGGGUACUGUUGGGAAACCAAUGCAUGCAAAACCGUUCCGUAGGUGAACCUGCGGAAGGAUCAUUAGAGAAAAAAGGGGGGUGGACGCCGCCCCCAUUCUCACACCCUGUGUCUACUUACCCUGUUGCUUUGGCGGCGCCGGCUCCGGCCGGGCAAGUCCGUCAAGGGCCCAACUCCUGCAUCUCUGUGGUCUGAGUACUAUCUAAUAGUUAAAACUUUCAACAACGGAUCUCUUGGUUCUGGCAUCGAUGAAGAACGCAGCGAAAUGCGAUAAGUAAUGUGAAUUGCAGAAUUCAGUGAAUCAUCGAAUCUUUGAACGCACAUUGCGCCCUCUGGUAUUCCGGGGGGCAUGCCUGUUCGAGCGUCAUUACAACCCUCAAGCGCAGCUUGGUGUUGGGCUCGCCCUGUAGGGCCUGCCUCAAAGUCAGUGGCGGCGCCGUCCGAUCCCAAGCGUAGUACUACUCGCCGCUGGGGGCAUCGGGCGAUGGCCUGCCAGCAACCCCCACCAUCACAGGUGACCUCGGAUCAGGUAG